UACAGAGGGUGCAAGCGUUGUUCGGAAUUAUUGGGCGUAAAGGGCGCGUAGGCGGUGCGGUAAGUCUGUAGUGAAAUCUCUGGGCUCAACUCAGAGUCUGCUGCAGAAACUGCCGUGCUUGAGUAUGGGAGAGGGAUGUAGAAUUCCAGGUGUAGCGGUGAAAUGCGUAGAUAUCUGGAGGAAUACCGGUGGCGAAGGCGGCAUCCUGGACCAUUACUGACGCUGAAUCGCGAAAGCUAGGGGAGCAAACGGG
rnacentral:rRNA from 1 species